AUGAUUGACCGAAAGGUCUUAUCAACUAUCCAACACCUCUUGUGAACCGUUGACCUCCGGGUCUCAAUUACAAACAUCAGUGUAACGAACGUCUUGUUAUCUUAACAAAAACA
rnacentral:misc_RNA from 1 species